GGAACAAAGGAAUUCUGAAAUGUAAUAUUUUUAACACUAGCUUCUUUCUGGGGUUUAAAAAUGAAUUUUGAUUUACAAUCUCUGAAGAAAAUAUAUAGAAAAUAGUUUCCAAAAUUAACACAUCAAUUAAACCAAAUGGAUGGUAAUAAUUGUGUGAAAAUAAUAAAUCUUUUAUAAAGAACAUUAUAGGAAAUAAAAUAUGGAUGUACCCUGUGACUUACAUAGGUGCUAUAUUAAUCACUGAGGUGUGAAUUAUAGAGGUGAAGAGUUUAUGCUUCUUUCCUUUGUGUUGAGCAUUCUGAUAAAUGAGAGUCUAAUGUGACAGGAAAAGAUAACAUAAUGAAUAUGUUAUUAUGCUUGAAGGAACAUGAAAAAAAAAAAAAAGUGACUGACACUGCAUUUUGUUCCAGGUGGGAGUAAAAAGCAAGCAGUUCCUGGCCCAUAAUACUCCAGUUUAGGAUGUCUGACUGAUGGCAUGCUGGCACCAACCUUGGAGGAAGUGAUGAGCUUCAGCUCCAGGUUCCUGUCCUGAGACCACAGCAGGAUGUGCCUUGGUCAAAGGCUUGGACUCUUGGAUCAUCUGGUGACUUCAGAAUUCUGUGAUCAGUUUUUACAGCAGUUACAGGAAAGAUUCGCUCAUCUUCACAAAUGUAUCCCUGACAAGUCUUGGUGGUUUAAUGUGCUGUAGCAAUUUUUAUUCUUCCCAUCAAAUUUCAUAAGAACUCCCUAAUCAUAGUCUCCUUUAGUUUGGAUGUUUCAUGUGAGCGUGUUUGUGGCAACAGUGAGUCUCUUUUCUCUCAGCUACUCUGGUUUUAUAGUGUCUUAUCAUCAAGUUAUUUUCUGGUUCCAUAUUUUUGAUGGACAAUUCUGACUUAUAAGUAUAUAAAGGAGAAUAUUGUAAUAUUGAAAUUGACCAAAUUCCUAUGAAAUUUUAGAGUUUUAAUUCUCAAAAGCAUGCAAUAAAUACAUUAGUUUAUAUAUUUGAAAUGUUAAAACAGUUUAUUUUCAGACAAUUUGAUAAAGAUCAUGUUUUUAUAAGUUUAAAAAACUCAUUUUUUAG
rnacentral:lncRNA from 1 species